UACGUAGGGCGCAAGCGUUAUCCGGAAUUAUUGGGCGUAAAGAGCUCGUAGGCGGCUUGUCGCGUCUGCCGUGAAAGUCCGGGGCUCAACUCCGGAUCUGCGGUGGGUACGGGCAGACUAGAGUGAUGUAGGGGAGACUGGAAUUCCUGGUGUAGCGGUGGAAUGCGCAGAUAUCAGGAGGAACACCGAUGGCGAAGGCAGAUCUCUGGGCCGUAACUGACGCUGAGGAGCGAAAGCGUGGGGAGCGAACAGG
rnacentral:rRNA from 1 species